UGCACAGCGAGCUCUCUCUGUCUUACACAGUGGAAACCACGGAUAAGCCCCUCAACUGUUUCAGAAACCAAAUAAUUCUAGAAGAAGCUAGCCAGCCUCUACGGCGAAACUUCAUAAUUUUCGGCGGAAAAACCCGCCACAUUAUUCACUUCAACGAUAAGGACUCACUAAUUAAGUCAGUAAAGGAGGUGGUCAAUUCCAAGGUCGUGAAUGCAAUCCACUGUGAUCUUCCGACUUUAGCUACCCUCCAACAUGCUCUGGUGCUGGAGUUUCCCGCAACCAAGUUCUGGCAUUGCAAAAACUUCGUGAACGAUAUCACAGAUGCAAGCGAGCAGGCUGAAAUAAUUACAGCCGAACACAAUCGCGCCCAUAGGGCCGCCCAAGAAAAUGUUAAGCAGGUCCUUCGUGACUACUAUUUCCCGAAAAUGACCAAACUUGCUAACGAGGUGGUUAUGAACUGCAGAGUCUGCACCAAGGCAAAGUAUAACAGACACCCAAAAAAACAAGAGCUGGGGGUCACCCCUGUUCCGUCAUACGCGGGAGAAAUGCUACACAUUGACAUAUUCUCCACAGACAAGAAACUUUUUUUGACCUGCAUCGACAAGUUCUCAAAGUUUGCCAUCGUACAGCCCCUCUCUUCCAGGGCUAUAGUAGAGGUACGAGCCCCCAUUAUACAAUUGAUAAAUUUUUACCCGAAUACCAAGACCAUAUAUUGUGACAAUGAGCCUUCCUUCAACUCCGAAACAAUUACCUCUUUGCUUAAAAACCAAUAUGGCAUCGACAUCGUAAAUGCACCCCCUCUACAUAGUAGCUCCAACGGGCAAGUAGAGAGAUUUCACAGCACGUUGGCAGAGAUAGCAAGGUGCAUAAAACUCGACCAAAAGAUUGAGGACACCGUCGAGCUAAUCAUGCGCGCCACUGUAGAAUACAACAGGACGCUACAUUCGGUCAUAGACCAGAAGCCUGUAGAAGCAAUCCAUGUAAGCAACAACGAUCUGAAGUUAGCAAUUAGAACCAGAAUUGAUAAGGCACAAAAGGCCAAUAUCGACAGGUUUAACAUCUCGAGGCAGAACAGAGUCUUUGAAGUGGGUGAAAAGGUUUACCCAAGGAAUAACAAAAGACUAGGGAACAAGCUAACCCCGCUGUACUCAGAAGAACGGGUACAAGCGGACCUUGGAACGGCAGUUCUAAUUAAGGGGAGGGUGGUCCAUAAGGACAAUCUGAAAUAAUUCAAACUUUUGUUUUACAGAUUUAAGGUAUCAUUCCCGCAGGUUUGACGGAAUACUCUUCCUACUCCCUUCUACUACAACUGCGCGGAUCACCGCCUUUUAUACCGUUAAAAUGUUGGAGUUGUUCCCACAUUCAGAUAUAGAACAUAAAAAAAUCCGUUGUCCGCUUUAAUGAUACAUGGCCAGAAGCCUAGACUUCCUGAUAACAGCA
rnacentral:lncRNA from 1 species